rnacentral:tRNA from 1 species
CAGGGAGACAACAAAAUGUUUAAUAUUAUUAUUUUGUCACCUUAGGUCGAUCGGUAUCUCACGUUUUUAAUUUAUUAAAAAUUUCAUUUCCUAAGUUUUUCUAGGUCACACCCAUUAUUUUUCCUGGGCCAUUAGCUCAGGUGGUUAGAGCGCACCCCUGAUAAGGGUGAGGUCCCUGGUUCAAGUCCAGGAUGGCCCAUAUCUCUAUGUUGGGGGUAUAGCUCAGUUGGUAGAGCGCCCGCUUUGCAAGCAGGAUGUCAGCGGUUCGAGUCCGCUUACCUCCACUGAUUACCACCUCUUACGUAAUCUGUAUGAAGGAAAUUUUGAGUUGUGAUCAAUUUCUGAACGAAUCUAGCUUCCUAAUGAAAUCAUUAAGAUGCUGGACUCAUUGAAUUAAUUUUCAUUGUUUUCAGAGAACCUUGACAACUGCAUAGAUUAUUUUUUAAAGACAAUAAGCAUCUUUAAUGAUGCAGAUUUAUUAUUUGUGCGAAUGCAUUAAUAACAAUUCUAUUAAGCUGAUGCUUCAAUUUUUGAAGUUAUU